rnacentral:rRNA from 1 species
GACGAACGCCGGCGGCGUGCUUAACACAUGCAAGUCGAACGGAAAGGCCUGCUUUCCCUUGUGGAUUGCGGGUACUCGAGUGGCGAACGGGUGAGUAACACGUGAGUGAUCUGCCCCCAACUUGGGUAUAAGCCUGGGAAACUGGGUCUAAUUCCCGAUAGGACUGCAGGGUGGUGCCUGUGGUGGAAAACGAUUUUCUAGUGGUUGGGGAUGAGCUCGCGGCCUAUCAGCUUGUUGGUGGGGUAAUGGCCUACCAAGGCGGCGACGGGUAGCCGGCCUGAGAGGGUGGACGGCCACAUUGGGACUGAGAUACGGCCCAGACUCCUACGGGAGGCAGCAGUGGGGAAUAUUGCACAAUGGGCGGAAGCCUGAUGCAGCGACGCCGCGUGGGGGAUGACGGCCUUCGGGUUGUAAACUCCUUUCGACCGCGAGGAAGCCACCUGGUUGGAAGGGUGGUGACGGUAGUGGUAGAAGAAGCACCGGCUAACUACGUG